GAAACUCUCCAGCUGCCUCCGCCCAAUUUUCUAUAAAACGGACACCUACGGUUCAAUUUUCUAAGGCAGGAGAAAAAAUGGGCGCUGAAGAAGAGAAACUGGAGGUGAAACUAGAGGAAGAAGAGCAAUCACGUCCCAAUAGAAACCCUAACCCUAAUUCCAUCUCUCAAGAUCAGUUCCUAUCCUGGAAGCGACACAAGGAAGUUGGUGAUUCUUCAAGAAAAGAAGAAGCUGCUAGAAAGCGAGCAGAAGAUGUUAUUGCAGGAACUGUACCAAUGAAUGGUCGGGAACUCUUUUUGCAUGAACCUUGGGUAUUUGACAACUCUCGAUAUUAAUCCAGGAGCGUAUUGAGUUGUAUAUGCCCAUGCUGCAUAUGUUGUGCUGGAAUUGCUAACUUUGCUGUAUCACUCGUCAAACUUCCGUUCAGUAUCAUCAGAUGGUUCAUUGAUCAGAUCCCUUGUUAACAUACACCCAGUCCAAUUAUCUUCGUUCCGGAUAUGAUGCUGAUUUUACUAAUUUCAAUUUUUGUUCCUUUUAUUGUCACUAGUAUAGCACGCAUGCGCGAUGCCCUGCCUUUCUGUUUGUACUGUAAUUUUAUUUUUUUGUUGUGUAAUUCAGAAAACAUUUAAAUAAUUUACGGAACCAGAUACAAUCUUUCCCCAAA